rnacentral:tRNA from 1 species
GGAGUGGAUCUGGGAUGGAAGGUGGCUUCUAACCACUGACUGGGGGGUUCGAUUCCAACCCCACUCCU